rnacentral:tRNA from 1 species
GCCUUCAUAGCUCAAAGGUAGAGCACUCGCCCGAUAAGCGAUAGACCUAGGAUCGUUACCUAGUGAAGGCA